rnacentral:tRNA from 1 species
AAAAUCCGUCGACUUAAAAAAGUCGUGAGGGUUCAAGUCCNNCUAUCCCCA